GAGGGAGCUCCCGGCAGAGCUGCUGCACUGCCCUGAUUAGGGGCAGGAGAGAUUGAUUUGUGAUGAAUGAAUAAAGAGGUGAGAUUAAAGCACGGCUAAAUGGCGAGGAAGAGGGAAGAGUCUGAGUGAGAUUUAAGCCUGCAAAAUAAUCCCCUCAUUGGACAUGCAGAAGCAGCCGCAAUACUUGGCAGAUGUGAAAACAAAUUGGAUGACAGAGAAGGGGAUUUAAGCAAGACAUCCUAAAGGAAGGUCAGCUCCUGGGGUGGCAGCCCCAGAUUUACCACCCUGGAGCAGACCAUCCACCCAAGCAGCCUCGUGCCUGGACAUGUGUGGGCACUGCCUACACAGCUCCUUGCCAGGCUGGGCAGCUGUCCAGGAGGAGCUCAUGGCACUUCCCCCAGCAUUUUUCCACCUGGGUGAGGUUUUCCCUUGAGAGGGCGACACACUUUCACAGGAGUCACAGAGAGCAAUCUUGUUGGGAAUACACAGAGUUAACUUUACUCAUCCAUCUUAAUAGGACUUAUAUUAUUUUCCUUGAUGGUUCUGAUUUUCUAUCCCAUUAAUAAUAAAAAAGCUUCUCUGCUUAUAUAUAAUGCAAUUCAACAAUAAGUCUCAAAGGAGGAUCAAGAUCACUUUGGCUUUCCAUCAAUUUGAUACUGACGCCUCUCCAGUUAAACAACUCGAGUGUGAGAUGAGCAAAAGGGAGCAGAGAUUCUUCCUAGCUUGAGACUGAACCUGAAUCUCUCUGGAAGCAACAGGAAUCUUCCAGUGGAUGUCAGUAGACUUUGCAUCACCACCCAAAGGGUGUAUCAGGGAAGGUGAAGGCUCUGUAAAUCAGGUGCCACGCUGACUUUGGGGGAGCGUGGCUGAUCUUGACUGCCUGAGAACUGGGGCAGAGGACACCAUGUGAAGGGUCUGUGAUUAUUUUUUCUGAUGCAAAUGUUCCAAACUGGUGUUUGGGAAAAGGGCUUGUUAGUCAGUGUUUGCCGAAUGGAAUACUUCAUGACAGCGCUAAUUAAAAUAAAUGAAACUUGACUUUU